UCGAGAAUCAUUCGCAAUGGGCGAAAGCCUGACGAUGCGACGCCGUGUGAGCGAAGAAGGCCUUCGGGUUGUAAAGCUCUUUAGCUGGGGAACAAGAAAGGUCCAUGAACAAUGGGCUGAUUUGAGAGUACCCGGUAAAUAAGCACCGGCUAACUCCGUGCCAGCAGCUGCGGCAAUACGGAGGGUGCAAGCAUUAAUCGGAUUUAUUGGGCGUAAAGGGCGCGUAGGCGUCUCGAUAAGUCAUCUGUGAAAAUCCUGGGCUUAACCUAGGAAGUGCAGGUGAAACUAUCGAGAUGGAGGGUAGGCGAGGAAAAUGGAAUUUCACGUGUAGCGGUGAAAUGCGUAGAUAUGUGGAAGAACACCGGUGGCGAAGGCGGUUUUCCAGCCUAUACCUGACGCUGAGGCGCGAAAGCAAGGGGAGCAAACAGG
rnacentral:rRNA from 1 species